rnacentral:rRNA from 1 species
GACAGAGGGUGCAAACGUUGUUCGGAAUCACUGGGCGUAAAGGGUGCGUAGGCGGGUCUUUAAGUCAGGGGUGAAAUCCUGGAGCUCAACUCCAGAACUGCCCUUUGAUACUGAAGAUCUUGAGUUCGGGAGAGGUGAGUGGAACUGCGAGUGUAGAGGUGAAAUUCGUAGAUAUUCGCAAGAACACCAGUGGCGAAGGCGGCUCACUGGCCCGAUACUGACGCUGAGGCACGAAAGCGUGGGGAGCAAACAGGG